ensembl:lncRNA
GAGUACCUCACUGGAGAUCCUUGCCUACCUGAGGCUUUCAGAGGGUUUUUGAAGUGGGGAAGCUGCAGGAGUGGCCUCUAUGGGAAGAGAAGAACAUAAGCUGUGCAGCAUUAGAAAGGAUGUGAAGUCCACUUGGUGUCCAGCCAAAAAUAACCCACAUAGCAGAGAAUGAUUCUAGAUGAUAAAGAGAUUGUAAAUAUGAAGAAUGAUUAUAUGUUCUCCACUGGCCUCAUUCUAAUCGUGAGGAGAAUCACCAAAGCACAUCAACAUUUGCAGCUGGAAGAAGAUAGUAAUGGUCAAAGAUACCAGUACCUUCCCCUUCCUCCUUUUCCUUGUUUGCUCCCACAACAAAAGAACUCAGCAAGAUAACACAAUUAUGAAAAGCUGAUAGAAUUAGGGGAGAGGAGAUGUGGCCUUCUUGGUUCUUAAUAAGAUGCAAGAAGACAAUAAUUCUGCCAUUCCUAUGAUCCUAUCUUCUACACUCCCGUCUUUCUGUGAAGCCUGUCACUGAGGCCAAAAUCCUUCAUAUCAUGCCUCCAAAAUGGUUCUCUAAAAAACAUUUUUAUUCACACUUAUUUAUUAAACAUCGAUAUUAUUUUUAUUGAGAUGUUCAUAUUAAUAUUUGCAGAAUUAUUUGACAAAUAAAUAACAUGCUUAUCUUUGAGAUUUUCUUUUGAAAAUCUUUUCAUAUACAAAAUAAUUAUGAAUGAGCAUGAAUUUAUUUCAUAAACUACUUCUGAAGCUUGUUCAAAACCUCCUUAAUUUAUUUCAUAAAUGUAAGACUAACUGCUUCAUAUCUUUCUAGAUAAUAUCCUGUCCAACAAAUACAUUCAUUUGUAAAAUUUCCAUGAUCUAACCAGGACUUACAUUAACAAAAGUGUAAAUAGCAAUCAGUGUCUCAGUAAAAAGAAGGUAAAAUAAUAUCUUGAAAUAUUUUAAUUUACUUUUUUUAAAAUAAUCGUCUGUGAAACACACUCCCUAUGUCUUCUACACAGCUCACCCCUUAUUUUCAGUAUUAUUUUACAGAUAUUUUGUUAUGAUAAGCACAACAAAAUACCAAGAUAUUAAGAUUAGUCAUACACAAGCAAGAAAAACAAGAUGAAAAAAUUGCAGUAGGCAGUAUGACUUCCUUUCUUUUUUUUUUCCAUUUUAUUUUUUUUCCUUCACUGUCAAAGCUCCAAAGUGUGCACAGAGUACUUCUUUAGUAAUUGUGUUUAAUUAAAUCUACAAUAUCAGCUAGGCAGCAUUUUGUACAGAACAUGCAGGAAACUGGAAAGACAGAACAAGAAGAUCUAGUAUGUGUAUAUUUUAGUUAUAUUUCAUUCUAGUAUAGAUUGCCACCAUCGUUAGAAAAUUAUAUUAUACUUCUUAUUGUUUGAAAGUUAUUUGAAAUAUUCCGCUUGUUCAGUGGAGAACAGAAAAAAUGACAGCACAGUAGUGGCUCUGACAGUUGCUUCAGAUAUAAAAUUUCACAGUAAGCAUUACUAAGAGCUCUUUUAGUAGUGCAAGUUAUGAUCAGCAUAUCCCUUCAGUUCUAUAAAAAUGUUUAAUAUAUAAUGAAUAUGCUAAACACACUGAAAGUCCCCAGCUUGUGUUGCUGGUGAUAAACUGUAUACGUACAAUCUUUCUAAAGCUUUACAUGUGACAACAGGACUGCCUAGCAGUGAAGAAGUAGCCAAGUUACCUCAGGCAUGGAUACUUCACUAACACUGGCAUUACAUGUCAUUGAGAAUAGAAGUAAAUGAGCCUGCACUAAGAGCUGUGCAUCUGAGAUUAAAUUGCCCUUGCAGCUAACAGAGGUUGUUUAGAUCUAAUUAGGGUUCAUCUAAAUAGCAUUACGUUACUGUAGUUGCUGUACAGAUAGAUACUAAACAGGAAUCCUAUGUAAUACAAUGUACUUCUUAAAUAGAGCAUAUUUCAAUCUAUAAUCAAGAUCUUGAGCAAGGGCGAUUUCAGUAACAUAUGGGAACAGAAACAGAUGCAUAGUAGAUUGCAUUGGAUGACACUGAACAAUAUUUCUGCAUAGAUUUAAAAAAUAAAAACAAAAACAACAAAAAAAAACCUCUGGAGAAGUCUUCAUUUCCUACUCCUUUAAUCUGUCUAGUGUGCAAUGUACCCAUAUCAAAAUGUUUUAAACUUGAUUUCUGAGUCUUUACUCAGCUGCUACCUUGACAAUAAAUCAGAUUUAUUCC